UUUGAGGGGAAUGUUGUCUGGCUCGAGGCCACUAGAUGCUUCUCUCUUUAUAUAUCUAUAUAUAUCUUAGUCAACGCAACUAUUGUUUAUCAUCUUUGUUGACAAAUGAUGUUUGUGAAAUGUUUGAUUACUGCGAGAAGUUACUGAUCUGGUGUCGUCGGACCAGGCUUCAUUCCCCCCAAU
rfam:Helianthus annuus linkage group 3, whole genome shotgun sequence.